AGAAGGGCCAGAGACUCUCCGAGGCGGCGGCAGAGGCAGAAGAGCGGGGUCGGGGCCGGCUGACCAGGAACCUGGGCGAGCAGCGGCGGGGGCCCGAGGGAUUCUGAAGGAAGAUUUCCAUUAGGUAAUUUGUUUAAUCAGUGCAAGCGAAAUUAAGGGAAAAUGGAUGUAGAAAAUGAGCAGAUACUGAAUGUAAACCCUGCAGGGUAUUUUCCCUAAUUCUCCAUGGUGCUUCAAUAGCAUGUUAUUAUCAUAAAAAUGAACAGUUUUGUGGAAUAGAUGACCAAAUAUCCUGAUAACUUAAGUGACUCUCUCUUUUCCGGUGAUGAAGAAAAUGCUGGGACUGAGGAAAUAAAGAAUGAAAUAAAUGGAAAUUGGAUUUCAGCAUCCUCCAUUAACGAAGCUAGAAUUAAUGCCAAGGCAAAAAGGCGACUAAGGAAAAACUCAUCCCGGGACUCUGGCAGAGGCGAUUCGGUCAGCGACAAUGGGAGUGACGCCCUUAGAAGUGGAGUAACUGUGCCAACCAGUCCAAAGGGAAGGUUGCUGGAUAGGCGAUCCAGAUCUGGGAAAGGAAGGGGACUACCAAAGAAAGGUGGUGCAGGAGGCAAAGGUGUCUGGGGUACACCUGGACAGGUGUAUGAUGUGGAGGAGGUGGAUGUGAAAGAUCCUAACUAUGAUGAUGACCAGGAGAACUGUGUUUAUGAAACUGUAGUUUUGCCUUUGGAUGAAAGGGCAUUUGAGAAGACUUUAACACCAAUCAUACAGGAAUAUUUU
rnacentral:sRNA from 1 species